UGCAUUGUUGUCUGUAAUUAAGGAUUCCUAUUGAACUUCCAAUAUUCCGACACAGGGCUCCAAUAAGCGGGAAUACAGAGCAGAGCGCACCUUUUCCCCUAAGCUCGCUCCCCCAUGCACCAGACGGCCUGCAAAUAUGCAGGUAUUACAGAAAAAGGCUGCCUAUCUGACUGUUGGGGGAAAAAGAGAGGAGCAGGAGCCAGCAGCUGAGAUGUCCAACAGAGCACGUCAUGAGGCCCGGUGGCGCACUGACAGACACUUUCCAUACAUACAUUAACACAUCACACGAUUGCCUAGCAUUGGCUCAGCCUGUGUCUGUGGAGUUUUGUAUGUUCACUCGGAUGCAGACAGACUCGCUGGGAUUUAUGCAUGAGAUCAAAUAACAGAGGAGGAAAAAGACUCAGACGCUGUAAUGCUCAGAGCUGGCAAGAAUAUACAAUUAGUGCUGCGCUGCUGAGAAACAAUCCAAGUCUGAUUGACCCACCUGUCUGGUGUCCUUCUCUUGCCGUUCUCAUUGACGUCCAGCAGGAGUUCGGAGGAGUCAACGGGAGAGGUGGUACUGGUGUCGAGGAGCAGCUGCUCAUGCUGGGCAAGGUACUGAGCCGGGUUCUGCUUGGCCAGCCGGGCACAGUGCAGCAGCUCCCUCUGAAGGAGUGGCAGGUUGGCCUGUGAGGAAAGAGCACUGUAUUUAAAACCUGAGCUAAUGUUAGAAGCUACCAACAGUGUUUUGCUUUCUGACUUUGAAGAGAAGGAGGAAUUUAAAUAUCAAAACUGCACUUUUGCUUUAAAAUGAAAAGUCACACAUUCAGUGAGUCGUUCCUCUUUUUAAGAGGAUUGGUUUAUAACCAAGCAACAACCUCCAGUAGUGUAAAAAUAAGCUGUUGCAGAGGUGGAAAAAACUGCAGUCCUUGAGUGUCCACUUGAGACCGGCUCCAAAAGCCAAGGAAAGAGCUCAUAUUAAAAUUCCAAUUUUACAGCAGAACUAAACAGCCUGGUACAAAAUAUACUUCUGGUCUUCAUAUCUCAUUUGCAGUGAUUAAAGUUUUUGUUGUUUUUUCUAAAAAACAUAUCCAUUUGGCUUAUAUUAAGCUAAGUAUUAUGCAUAAUUAGACGUGUUUAGAGGCACGGCUGAGUCAACAGACAGCUCGGCGAGCUACAGAUGUUUGCUAAGUGGCUAGGUGGCUAGGCUAAUUUCUCAACUCCAUGUCUUUACCGUUUUUUUGAUUAGCCAGAAGUUAGCUGGAAUUAGUAUUUCCAAUAUGGCGGCUGCCAUCUUUACGCUUCAUCACUUUUUUUCGGAAACUAAUGGUUGAUGUCACAGAGAAUUGGUCCAUGUUUUCCACAGUCUAUAUGUAUAAGUGAUGUCUUAAACAGAAAUAUCUUUUUUUAAAGAUGUACAUUUCAGAUUUCAAAUACAAUUUUGCAUGCAUUGCUUUAAUUUUAGUCUUGUCAGAUUAAAGCACCUGUGAGGAAUUUACAGGUGUUUGAGAAGUUUGAGUGGCUUUUGGCGCCCCCAUUUGACAAAGUAGUACCUCUCAUCACUUUGCUGUUUUCUGUACAGGUUUUGAUUGUCUUUUUUUUCUGACAGAAAUUUCAUCCUUGCAUUUGUGGCUCAUACAGUGGCAACAGUCUG